rnacentral:lncRNA from 1 species
AUUGGAGGAGUCCGGGAUUCAACUCUGUUGUAGAAGUUCAGACGGAGUCCGACUCUCGUAGGAGUCUAGAUGAAGUCCGCUUAUUGUAGAAGCUCGGAUGAAGACCGACUGUCGUGGAAGCUCGGAUGGAGACUUCUUAUUAUAGAAGUCCCGCUGCUAGAGAAGCUCGAUCAUUGACGAAGUUCGAAAGAAGUUCGGAGUAGAGAUCCGGCUGGUGGAGCCCGUCC